CUUGUUCCUUGUGCGUAGGGAGCCGCGUUUUCUGACUCUGUCUGGUACCUCCCCGGGGUAGUUGUAGGCACGGAAAUCCUAAAAACAGCCUAAGGACGUGAGGGCUCUGGAAACAGAGCUUCGCCAAGAGUCUGUUUCCAGGUAAAUUCUCUAUGCCAGUUUCAUCGAUCAUGAAAUUAAGCAGUGCCCUUUGGGGGAAGUGAUUACCUGCCCAGCACACUCUUUUACGGGAAAAAUUUUAUAAUAUAGGUAGCAAAAGCAUUAAUGAAUGCAACGAAAGGAGAAACCCAACUGGGAGAUAGCACAGAAGAGAUACUUAUUCAGGGCUCCCAUACCCAGGCUCCUAUAUGCUGCCAUUCUCUAAAACCAAGAGCCCAGUGAAUAUUUAACUAGCUUAUCUGCCCAGUAGCAUUUGUUUUACUUACACUAGCUAACCGAAAAUUAGAAAUAAUCUAUAACUUACUUUCAGACUCCCGCGGAUCUUGGCUGUGUCGCUUAACUUACUCUACACUUAAGGUAGCUUGAAUCCAGCUACCAGGUCAGCCCAGAUGGCAACAUAUGCAAACAGCUGAAAUAAUCUAAUAUAUGGCUUUCUUUGUUGUUGUUGUUGUUUUGGUUUUAGUUUUGAGACAGGGUUUCUCUGUGUAGCCCUGGCUGUCCUGGAACUCAUUCUGUAGACCAGGCUGUCCUUAAACACAGAUUCGCCUGCCUUUGCCACUCUUGUGCUUGGAUUAAAGGCGUGGGUCGUCACUACCCAGCGGUUUUCUUUAUCAUAAAAUAGACUUGGGUGCUUGACUCCUCAGCUCUACGAUGUGUGACACUUAGCUUGGUAUGGCAUCCAUCCAACAGCCACAAAUUUGGGGUAUAUGAAAAUUCGUACCGAAUAACAUACCUUACUGUUAGAGACCUGCAUCUUCAUGUUAAAUAUGGAUUGGUUGCUAUCAACUGUAAGCUAUACUUAAAUAAGAUGGGAUUUUGCUUGUUUGGUUUGGUUUUUCAAGAUAGGAUCUCUCUGUGUAGCCUUGGCUGUCCUGUACUCCCUUUGUAGAACAGGCUGGCCGAACUCACAUCGAUCCAAUGUAAUCCUAGCACUGCUUCCUGAGUGCUAGGAUUAAAGGUGUGUGUCACCAUCUCCCAGCUAUUUUGCACUUUUUUUUUUGUUUAAUUUAUUCUUAAAUAUUUUAAUCUCUCCCAUAUCCACACUUUCCAUCCUACGUCCCUUCCCACCCAACUUUGAGUUUUUUCCUCUUCUACCCCAUCAAGCUCAGUUUGUGUUGCCCAACCUCUUUUGGGAGUAGGGCAUGCCUUGAGUGUGCUUGACCUACCGGGAGUCAACACACGGAAGAAAGCUGACUCUCCCUACCUCAGCAGCUGUCGGCUGCCAGUAUCUCCUCUGCUAUUGACGGGAGUUUGUGCCCAUCUGCCCAUCUGUGCUUUUGUCUGCUAGAGCUUUUGUGGGCCCUGUGCCCUCUGUCACAGGUGUGUCUGGGAAGUGCUAUUUUCUCGAACUUAUCCUUCACAUCUGGUUCUUAAAAUCUUCUGCCCCCUCUUCUUCACCACCUGAGUGCUUGGUGGGAAGGGUAUAACUUACGCAUCCCAUUAAAGGCUGAACACUCUAUAAUUCCUUAGUCUCUUCACCUUGACCAAUUAAGGGUCUCUGUGUCACUUACCACCCUGAUGAAGACUGAUGAAGGUUACGAGAUAAACUGUCCAACAGGUAUAGCAAUGAGUCAGUUUAAUACUAUGUUUAUUUAGCAGAAAAAAAUAGUAUAAAGUAUUCUCUGAGGCCUAUGACCUAUCUAGCCACAGGUUCUGGGCCCAGUUAACAGUUCCAGGAAUGAGUCCAGUCUGAGAUCCACCCUUAGAGCACAAAGUGGUUGGUUAUUCCCAUAACAUUUAUGUCACUAUUGCACAGUGGUCAUAUUUUGUCAGGCCCGUCACUGUUGUAGUUUGCAAGGUUCACAGCUGCAUUAAAUUUAUACUUAGUUUUCUCCUUCAGUAGCAGAAAUACAACAUUCUAGGCCUAUGAAAGUUAGCCACUAUGAAUAAAGCUUCCAGGUGAGUAUUGGCUUGAUAGCUCUGUAUUCUGUGACCUUGGUAUGUGGUGUUUUCAGCAGCAACAGGGUCUUACCUUCAGGUUCUGGAGGGUAAUCAAGAAUAUUAGCAAUUCUCUAUAAUACUUGGGUUCGGGGUGGGGGUCUAUGGAAUCUCAUUGGCCAACAACUCACAAAAAAAAAAGUGACCCAUUUAUGGUAAUGAGGUUCUUAUUUGUUAGCAUGUGGUGUCUAGCUGGGGUAUUACCCUCUAUCUCAUUACAGGGAAUCUCCAUUAAAAUUGUGUGUGUGUGUGUGUGUGUGUGUGUGUGUGUGUGUGUGUGUGUGUAGAAGCUUCUAUAGUAGUAGGUUUCAAAUUUGAGUAGAUCCAAAUAAUUGAGUCCUUUUUUUUUUUCCUUUGCUGAUUGAAAUUUGUCAAUUUUCUUGAUUUUUUUGAAGAACCAACUUUUAGUUUCAUUGACUUUUCUCUAUUUCCUGGCCUCCAAAUCAGGAAUUGAUGCUGCAAUUCCUGUUUCCUUGCUUCUUACUGCAGUUGAUUUUAUGUUUCUCCCUGCUCAUUAAUAUGGAAGCUGAAGUUAAUGGCCUGAGAUUACUCCUGCUUUUCAAAAAUUUUUCCUGUGGUUGUGGGAAGACUGUCCAUAGGGUUUCCUUUAUGUGCAUGAUGGCAACGUAAUGCAGUUGAAAAGAGACACAAACAGUCUACAGAGAGUUUGUCCCAAUGUGGAACAAAAUAAAAAGAAGCCUGUUUGGAGAACAGUGAUUGAGGGGACAAGCAGUAGGACACAGAUUCUGCAUGGUCAAGCUUUCGUAUCACCUUGUUUUACUUCAGCUUCGAAGGUGGGGCUGUGCUGGGGUGCAUAACUGUAUGUGCAUGUUUGUGUGUGGAGAAUCCAGAAGCCAACCUCAGGCGUCAUUCCUCACUCAGUAACCAGACAGGCUCUCUCACUGGAACCAGGGGCUCACCAAUUAGGCUAAGCUGGCUAGACAGCGAACCCCAAGGAUCUACCACCAUCUCCAACUCCCCAGCUCCGCUAUUAUAAGUCUCACCACUACACAUGGCUUACAAAAAUUCUAGGGGCUGACUACCCACAGGUCCUUAUACCUGGAGGUAAGCACUAUCGAACCAGCCCAUUACUUGUCCAUUAAAAGAAAAAGUUGGUGGGCAGUGGUGGCGCACGCCUUUAAUCCCAGCACUGGGGAGGCAGAGGCAGGAGGAUCUCUGUGAGCUUGAGGCCAGCCUGGACUACAGAGCUAGUUCAAGGAUAGCCAAGGCCACACAGAGAAACCCUGUCUCGAAAGAAAGAAGGAAAGAAAGAAAGAAAGAAAGAAAGAAAGAAAGAAAGAAAGAAAGAAAGAGAGAGAGAAAGAAAGAAAACAAGCAAGCAAGCAAAAAUAGUGCUUGGAAAGCAAAGGCAGGAAGAUCUUUUUGAGUUCGAAGCCAAACUGUUCACACAGGGAGUUACAGGCCAGCCAGGACCACAUAAAUUUACAGUCAGCAUUGUAAAUUAGCCAAGAAAGAUCUAGUGAAAGGUCACAGCCAGGUCUGACUACCUGAGUUGGAUCUCAGGAGGAGAGCACUGACUCCCACAGCCUGACCUCUAACCUCCACAUGCACACAAACACACACUAGC